rnacentral:rRNA from 1 species
UAAACCGACACAGGUGGGAUGGUAGAGUAUACCAAGGCGCUUGAGAGAAGUAUCCUGAAGGAACUCGGCAAAUUGCCUCCGUACCUUCGGAAGAAGGAGGCCCCGGCUAAGCGCAAGCCCUGUCGGGGGGCACAGGCCAGGGGGUAGCGACUGUUUAGCAAAAACACAGGACCCUGCUAAGUCGGCUUCAAGACGACGUAUAGGGUCUGACGCCUGCCCGGUGCUGGAAGGUUAAGAGGAGGCGUGCAAGCGCUGAAUUGAAGCCCCAGUAAACGGCGGCCGUAACUAUAACGGUCCUAAGGUAGCGAAAUUCC